UGAACUGGAAGUUGAGACUUACCCUGGCCAC
rnacentral:piRNA from 1 species